AAGAUUGUCUCACUCGGUAGCCCAAACUGGCCUAGAACUCAUCACUAUAUAGCCUAGAUUGGCCUCAGACUUGAGGCAACCCUCAUGCCCCCACCUCCCCUGUGCUGGGAUUACAGACUCAUUACGUGAACUUUUACACACAGGUGGUUUUACCAAGAGGCUCUCACUUGUAUAGAUAGAGACAGCACCAAGACACCCUGGAAAGGAGGAGCAACACCGCCAUGAUUCCCCUUGCAAGUGAUUGCCUCUCUACAGUCCCAGUGUUGACCUAGAGAUGAGCUUAUCUCUGCUCUCCUUGCACACAGACAGUUGGCCCAGAGAACAAACUUGGCAGAAGCCCACAGGUGUUCCUGGGCCCUAUAAGGAAGCUAACCAAGCACGAGCUUAUGACAGCCAUUGAAAGCAUCCCUCCAUGGUUUCUGCUGCACUUCACUGGCUUUGAAAAAAAACCUGGGAGACCCCUGACCAGGCAGUAGAAGCCAGAUGUUGAAAGCCUGUCAAGGACUUCAGUUAUGGGGCCUUAUCCUAAUGACAGUGGGAUCUACAGGAGUGCUUGAAGACAGAAGAGGACAGGGAAUAAUGUGCCUCAAUUUACCAAGAAACAUUCAAGAGCCGGGUACACACUUUGAUUGGAAGGAUAUCCCAGGUUUGCUGAGCUCCUUAAUAGACUGGAGUGUGCCCUCUGAGGACAAGAGUUACUGGUGAAUUGAAUGACUAAUAGACUGAAAGAUACUGGAUUCCAAGGGGUAUCCUGGGGAGUAGGGAAGAUGUGGAGAUGGAGUGAGAUUGAAGACUGAUUCCCACGGGCCUCACCAACCUUGCUAGUAAGGGGAGAGCCACAAUGGAUCAACACAGAGUU